GGGUGAAAUACAGUUUUGGAAUGC
rnacentral:siRNA from 1 species